rnacentral:lncRNA from 1 species
GCCUGCAUCUCUUGCCACAUUGCGGAUCAUAUGAAGAAUGAAUCUUUUCUGAAAUGCUUCAUCGAGUUAAGAACGCUUGGGAGUCAGUCAGGUUGCCAUUCAAGAUAGUUUCCCUUUACCCAAAUGGUGAAAAGAAAUUACAUAAUGAUGAUUAGUGAAUGAAAGCAACAGUGGCAAAACUGAAGGAGGAAGGUUAGCAUCAAGCUAAAAAGGAGACAUCAAGAAUUGAUAAUUCAAAUGAAGGAAUAUGUUGUUGAACAAGGGCGAAUUGAAAGUGAAGUCUAUCACAACUAGCUUCCCU